rnacentral:rRNA from 1 species
AGUGAACGCUGGCGGUAGGCCUAACACAUGCAAGUCGAACGGCAGCACAGUAAGAGCUUGCUCUUACGGGUGGCGAGUGGCGGACGGGUGAGGAAUACAUCGGAAUCUACUUUUUCGUGGGGGAUAACGUAGGGAAACUUACGCUAAUACCGCAUACGACCUACGGGUGAAAGCAGGGGAUCUUCGGACCUUGCGCGAUUGAAUGAGCUGAUGUCGGAUUAGCUAGUUGGCGGGGUAAAGGCCCACCAAGGCGACGAUCCGUAGCUGGUCUGAGAGGAUGAUCAGCCACACUGGAACUGAGACACGGUCCAGACUCCUACGGGAGGCAGCAGUGGGGAAUAUUGGACAAUGGGCGCAAGCCUGAUCCAGCCAUACCGCGUGGGUGAAGAAGGCCUUCGGGUUGUAAAGCCCUUUUGUUGGGAAAGAAAAGCAGCAGGUUAAUACCCCGCUGCUCUGACGGUACCCAAAGAAUAAGCACCGGCUAACUUCGUG